rnacentral:lncRNA from 1 species
UCAGUCUUACGAAUCGCAUAGGACUUUUUCUUUUCUACCAAGGUCAAUAGAUUCCAUCUAGGUGCAUCCUACUCCAAACAGUGAACAUGAACUUACAAUAGCCAACAUACAUAGAAAGAACCCAAAUGGCUAGAGAUCAAAGAAACAUGCAAUCAAACUAUGUAGCCUCACUGUGAAUAGCCAACACACCGCAGGUCAAAGGUGAAGGAACC